rnacentral:rRNA from 1 species
AGAGUUUGAUCCUGGCUCAGAACAAACGCUGGCGGCGUGCCUAACACAUGCAAGUCGAACGAGAAAGUCGGUUUCGGCCGAUGAGUAAAGUGGCGCACGGGUGAGUAACGCGUGGAUAAUCUACCCUUUAGUCCGGAAUAACUUGCCGAAAGGUGAACUAAUACCCGAUGACAUCCCGGGUUCUCCGGAAACCGGGAUCAAAGAAGGCCUCUGCUUGCAAGCUUUUGCUGAAGGAUGAGUCCGCGUACCAUUAUCUACUUGGUGGGGUAAUGGCCUACCACGGUUAUGAUGGGUAGCUGCUCUGAGAGGAUGAUCAGCCACUCUGGAACUGAUACACGGGCCAGACUCCUACAGUAUGCAGCAG